rnacentral:rRNA from 1 species
UACGUAGGGUGCAAGCGUUGUCCGGAAUUACUGGGCGUAAAGGGCGCGUAGGCGGCCAGCACAAGUCAGUUGUGAAAUCUCCGAGCUUAACUCGGAAAGGUCAACUGAUACUGUGCGGCUAGAGUGCAGAAGGGGGCAACUGGAAUUCUUGGUGUAGCGGUGAAAUGCGUAGAUAUCAAGAGGAACACCUGCGGCGAAGGCGGGUUGCUGGGCUGACACGUGACGCUGAAGCGCGAAAGCCAGGGGAGCGAACGGG